rnacentral:ncRNA from 1 species
CAACCUCAACUCAUAUGGGACUACCCCCUGAAUUUAAGCAUAUUAAUUAGGGGAGGAAAAGAAACUAACAAGGAUUUUCUUAGUAGCGGCGAGCGAAAAGAAAUCAGUUCAGCACUAAGUCACUUUGUCUAUAUGGCAAAUGUGAGAUGCAGUGUACGGAACAUCAACAUUCUAGUAUGAGAAGUUAACGAUUUAAGUCCUUCUUAAAUGAGGCCAUUUACCCAUAGAGGGUGCCAGGCCCGUAUAACGUUAAUGAUUACUAGAUGGUGUUUCCAAAGAGUCGUGUUGCUUGAUAGUGCAGCACUAAGUGGGUGGUAAACUCCAUCUAAAACUAAAUAUAACCAUGAGACCGAUAGUAAACAAGUACCGUGAGGGAAAGUUGAAAAGAACUCUGAAUAGAGAGUUAAAUAGUACGUGAAACUGCUUAGAGGUUAAGCCCGAUGAACCUGAAUAUCCGUUAUGGAAAAUCAUCAUAGAAU